rnacentral:tRNA from 2 species
UCCUCCGUAGUGUAACCGGCAGCACAACGGUCUUUGGAACCGCAAGCCCAAGUUCGAACCUUGGCGGAGGAA